UAGGCGUAAAUGAUGCGAGUUAAGUGUGGGGGCAUCUACGAGAUGGCCCUGUGCUGUAGGGUAGCCGUUAAACUCGCUGCCUGGGGAGUACGGUCGCAAGGCUGAAACUUAAAGGAAUUGGCGGGGGGAGCACCACAAGAGGUGGAGCUUGCGGUUUAAUUGGAUUCAACGCCGGAAAUCUUACCGGGACCGACAGCAACAUGAAGGCCAGGCUGAAGACUUUGCCGGAUUAGCUGAGAGGAGGUGCAUGGCGUAGUCGUGU
rnacentral:rRNA from 1 species